AUAACACCAGAAGAAAACUUUUCCUAUGUCAGCUUUGAAAGCAAUGUGGCACUAAAUAAUUAUCGGAUGUUAAUAAAUCAAGUUGUCCAAACAUUUAAGCCGGGGAAGUUCAUAGUAACCAUAUUUGCAAAUAAGUCUUCGUUGGCGUACGAAACCAUGAAGGGAUUGGAAAUCGAAUACUCGACGCAGUCACAUUGGAAACAAACCGAUAUGCAGUGCUGUAAUUUUCCGUCUUAUAACCUUUUAUUCGCACAAUAUUUGUAUCGUAAUAAAAACACAAUGUAAUAUGAUUAA